rnacentral:rRNA from 1 species
UUGGCUCUCGCAUCGAUGAAGAACGCAGCGAAAUGCGAUAAGUAAUGUGAAUUGCAGAAUUCAGUGAAUCAUCGAAUCUUUGAACGCACCUUGCGCUCCUUGGUAUUCCGAGGAGCAUGCCUGUUUGAGUGUCAUUAAAUUCUCAACCUCACCCAUUUUGUGAUGAAGUGUGUGUGUAGGCUUGGAUGUGGAGGCUUGCAGGUCCGGCUCUCUGAGUUGGUCUGCUCCUCUG